rnacentral:rRNA from 1 species
UACGUAGGGGGCGAGCGUUGUCCGGAGUUACUGGGCGUAAAGCGCGCGCAGGCGGCGGUGCUGGCCCGGCGUGAAAGCCCCCGGCUCAACCGGGGAGAGUCGUCGGGGACCGCACCGCUUGAGGGCGGUAGGGGCUGGUGGAAUGCCUGGUGUAGUGGUGAAAUGCGUAGAGAUCAGGCAGAACACCUGGGGCGAAGGCGGCCAGCUGGGCCGUCCCUGACGCUGAGGCGCGAAGGCGUGGGGAGCGAACGGG